rnacentral:rRNA from 1 species
UACGAAGGGGGCUAGCGUUGCUCGGAAUCACUGGGCGUAAAGGGUGCGUAGGCGGGGCUUUAAGUCAGGGGUGAAAUCCUGGAGCUCAACUCCGGAACUGCCUUUGAUACUGAAGAUCUUGAGUUCGGGAGAGGUGAGUGGAACUGCGAGUGUAGAGGUGAAAUUCGUAGAUAUUCGCAAGAACACCAGUGGCGAAGGCGGCUCACUGGCCCGAUACUGACGCUGAUGCACGAAAGCGUGGGGAGCAAACAGG